GCAAACAAAACAAAAUAAGUACUAAACUUAAAUGUGCUCUAGCUAGUGAUUAAUGCACAUGUUAUCAGUGACAUCCAUAAAAAUUUAAUUCUACCAAUCUUGCUACAAAAGAAAAAAUGAUAGAAAAUUUUGAAUUAUAGAUGGUGAUACAAAACAUACAGUGCAACCAAGAGGAUGAUUUAGUGGGUAAGUUCUCAGAAGGCCUUGCUUUCAAAAUAUGUAAUUAC
rnacentral:lncRNA from 1 species